rnacentral:rRNA from 1 species
UUAAGCGACUAAGCGUACACGGUGGAUGCCCUGGCAGUCAGAGGCGAUGAAGGACGUGCUAAUCUGCGAAAAGCGUCGGUAAGGUGAUAUGAACCGUUACAGCCGGCGAUGUCCGAAUGGGGAAACCCAGUGUGAUUCGUCACACUAUCGUUAACUGAAUACAUAGGUUAACGAGGCGAACCGGGGGAACUGAAACAUCUAAGUACCCCGAGGAAAAGAAAUCAACCGAGAUUCCCCCAGUAGCGGCGAGCGAACGGGGAGCAGCCCAGAGUCUGAAUCAGCUUGUGUGUUAGUGGAACGGUCUGGAAAGUCCGACGGUACAGGGUGAUAGUCCCGUACACCAAAAUGCACAGGCUGUGAACUCGAAGAGUAGGGCGGGACACGUGGUAUCCUGUCUGAAUAUGGGGGGACCAUCCUCCAAGGCUAAAUACUCCUGACUGACCGAUAGUGAACCAGUACCGUGAGGGAAAGGCGAAAAGAACCCCGGCGAGGGGAGUGAAAAAGAACCUGAAACCGUGUACGUACAAGCAGUGGGAGCACCUUCGGGUGUGACUGCGUACCUUUUGUAUAAUGGGUCAGCGACUUAUAUUCUGUAGCAAGGUUAACCGUAUAGGGGAGCCGCAGGGAAACCGAGUCUUAACUGGGCGUUAAGUUGCAGGGUAUAGACCCGAAACCCGGUGAUCUAGCCAUGGGCAGGUUGAAGGUUGGGUAACACUAACUGGAGGACCGAACCGACUAAUGUUGAAAAAUUAGCGGAUGACUUGUGGCUGGGGGUGAAAGGCCAAUCAAACCGGGAGAUAGCUGGUUCUCCCCGAAAGCUAUUUAGGUAGCGCCUCGUGAAUUCAUCUUCGGGGGUAGAGCACUGUUUCGGCUAGGGGGUCAUCCCGACUUACCAACCCGAUGCAAACUACGAAUACCGAAGAAUGUUAUCACGGGAGACACACGGCGGGUGCUAACGUCCGUCGUGAAGAGGGAAACAACCCAGACCGCCAGCUAAGGUCCCAAAGUCAUGGUUAAGUGGGAAACGAUGUGGGAAGGCACAGACAGCCAGGAUGUUGGCUUAGAAGCAGCCAUCAUUUAAAGAAAGCGUAAUAGCUCACUGGUCGAGUCGGCCUGCGCGGAAGAUGUAACGGGGCUAAACCAUGCACCGAAGCUGCGGCAGCGACACUAUGUGUUGUUGGGUAGGGGAGCGUUCUGUAAGCCUGCGAAGGUGACCUGUGAGGGUUGCUGGAGGUAUCAGAAGUGCGAAUGCUGACAUAAGUAACGAUAAAGCGGGUGAAAAGCCCGCUCGCCGGAAGACCAAGGGUUCCUGUCCAACGUUAAUCGGGGCAGGGUGAGUCGACCCCUAAGGCGAGGCCGAAAGGCGUAGUCGAUGGGAAACAGGUUAAUAUUCCUGUACUUGGUGUUACUGCGAAGGGGGGACGGAGAAGGCUAUGUUAGCCGGGCGACGGUUGUCCCGGUUUAAGCAUGUAGGCUGGUUAUCCAGGCAAAUCCGGAUAAUCAAGGCUGAGGUGUGAUGACGAGGCACUACGGUGCUGAAGUAACAAAUGCCCUGCUUCCAGGAAAAGCCUCUAAGCAUCAGGUAACAUUAAAUCGUACCCCAAACCGACACAGGUGGUCAGGUAGAGAAUACCAAGGCGCUUGAGAGAACUCGGGUGAAGGAACUAGGCAAAAUGGUGCCGUAACUUCGGGAGAAGGCACGCUGGUGUGUAGGUGAAGUCCCUGCGGAUGGAGCUGAGACCAGUCGAAGAUACCAGCUGGCUGCAACUGUUUAUUAAAAACACAGCACUGUGCAAACACGAAAGUGGACGUAUACGGUGUGACGCCUGCCCGGUGCCGGAAGGUUAAUUGAUGGGGUUAUCCGUAAGGAGAAGCUCUUGAUCGAAGCCCCGGUAAACGGCGGCCGUAACUAUAACGGUCCUAAGGUAGCGAAAUUCCUUGUCGGGUAAGUUCCGACCUGCACGAAUGGCGUAAUGAUGGCCAGGCUGUCUCCACCCGAGACUCAGUGAAAUUGAACUCGCUGUGAAGAUGCAGUGUACCCGCGGCAAGACGGAAAGACCCCGUGAACCUUUACUAUAGCUUGACACUGAACAUUGAGCCUUGAUGUGUAGGAUAGGUGGGAGGCUUUGAAGCGUGGACGCCAGUCUGCGUGGAGCCGACCUUGAAAUACCACCCUUUAAUGUUUGAUGUUCUAACGUUGGCCCCUUACCGGGGUUGCGGACAGUGUCUGGUGGGUAGUUUGACUGGGGCGGUCUCCUCCCAAAGCGUAACGGAGGAGCACGAAGGUUAGCUAAUCCUGGUCGGACAUCAGGAGGUUAGUGCAAUGGCAUAAGCUAGCUUGACUGCGAGCGUGACGGCGCGAGCAGGUGCGAAAGCAGGUCAUAGUGAUCCGGUGGUUCUGAAUGGAAGGGCCAUCGCUCAACGGAUAAAAGGUACUCCGGGGAUAACAGGCUGAUACCGCCCAAGAGUUCAUAUCGACGGCGGUGUUUGGCACCUCGAUGUCGGCUCAUCACAUCCUGGGGCUGAAGUAGGUCCCAAGGGUAUGGCUGUUCGCCAUUUAAAGUGGUACGCGAGCUGGGUUUAGAACGUCGUGAGACAGUUCGGUCCCUAUCUGCCGUGGGCGCUGGAGAAUUGAGGGGGGCUGCUCCUAGUACGAGAGGACCGGAGUGGACGCAUCACUGGUGUUCGGGUUGUCAUGCCAAUGGCACUGCCCGGUAGCUAAAUGCGGAAGAGAUAAGUGCUGAAAGCAUCUAAGCACGAAACUUGCCCCGAGAUGAGUUCUCCCUGAGACUUUAAGUCUCCUGAAGGAACGUUGAAGACGACGACGUUGAUAGGCCGGGUGUGUAAGCGCAGCGAUGCGUUGAGCUAACCGGUACUAAUGAACCGUGAGGCUUAACCUU